GACCCCUCAGUCCAACUUCUCACAAUGAGACUCCCUGCUCAGCUCCUGUGGCUGCUGGUGCUCUGGGUCCCUGGAUCCAGUGGGGCUAUUGUGAUGACCCAGACUCCACUCUCACUGCCCGUCACCCCUGGAGAGCCUGCUUCCAUCUCCUGCAGGUCUAGUCAGAAUCUCCUCCAUACUAGUGGAAUCAACCUUAUGAGUUGGUACCUGCAGAAGCCAGGCCAGUCUCCACAGCCCCUGAUCUAUUUUGGUUUAAACCGAGCACCUGGGGUCCCAGACAGGUUCAGUGGCAGUGGAUCAGGAACUGAUUUCACACUGAAAAUCAGCAGAGUGGAGCCUGAAGAUGCUGGGGUUUAUUAUUGCUUGCAAGGUCUACAACUUCCGCUCACUUUCGGCCCAGGCACCAAGGUGGAGAGCAAACGGGAUGCGGCUCAGCCAUCUGUCGUCCUGUUCCCACCAGCCCAGGAGGAGCUGAGCUCCGGAACUGUCUCUGUCUUGUGCACAAUAACUGGCUUCUACCCCAAAGAUAUCAAUGUCACUUGGAAGGUGGAUAACGUCCCCCAGACAAAUGAUAUCCAGAACAGCCUCUCAGAGCAGGACAGCAAAGACAACACCUUUAGCCUCAGCAGUAUCCUGACAUUGCCCACUCCAGAGUACAACCGCCACAGCACCUAUGUCUGCGAGGUUGUUCAUCAGAGCUUGAGCUCGCCCCUCACCAAGAGCUUCAAUAGGCAAGCGUGUUAGAGGGAGAGGCCUCCCCGGCCCAGCAUCAGCCCCUUCCCUGCGUAGGCCUUGGGACCUUCUCCCACAAGGGACCUACCCCUACUGCAGUCCUCCAGCACCUCUCCCCACAUCAUCCCCCUUCCUCCUUGGCUUUAAUCAUGCUAAUAUUUGGGGAGGAAAUGAACGAAUAAAGUUAAUCUUUGCACCUGUGA